rnacentral:rRNA from 1 species
AACGAACGCUGGCGGCGUGCCUAACACAUGCAAGUCGUGGGAGAAAGGGAGCUUCGGCUCCCGAGUAAACCGGCGCACGGGUGAGUAACACGUAGGUAACGUACCUUCGAGCCCGGGAUAACCAGCCGAAAGGUUGGCUAAUACCGGAUACGACCGAGAGGGCCCCGGCUCUUUCGGUGAAAGGCGGCCUCUGCUUGCAAGCUGUCAUUCGAAGCGCGGCCUGCGCACCAUUAGCUAGUUGGUGGGGAACGGCCCACCAAGGCUGAGAUGGUUAGCUGGUCUGAGAGGAUGGCCAGCCACACUGGGACUGAGACACGGCCCAGACUCCUACGGGAGGCAGCAGUGGGGAAUAUUGCGCAAUGGGCGAAAGCCUGACGCAGCGACGCCGCGUGGGUGAUGAAGG